UACGUAGGGGGCAAGCGUUGUCCGGAAUCAUUGGGCGUAAAGAGCGUGUAGGCGGCCCGGUAAGUCCGCCGUGAAAGUCCAGGGCUCAACCCUGGAAUGCCGGUGGAUACUGUCGGGCUAGAGUCCGGAAGGGGCGAGUGGAAUUCCUGGUGUAGCGGUGAAACGCGCAGAUAUCAGGAGGAACACCGAUGGCGAAGGCAGCUCGCUGGGACGGUACUGACGCUGAGGCACGAAGGCCAGGGGAGCAAACGGG
rnacentral:rRNA from 1 species